AACAGCCUGCGGGUCUGUCCCAGUAAAACCAGGACAGAUGGAAAGCAAAGUCUCCUCUGGACACACCAGAGCUGAUGCCAGCCUUCACACCCAGGGCACAGCGGCAGGCACUGCUCUGCAGGAGCUGGGAACUGAAACUUUCUGGAGCCCCUGUGGGGUGUGAGAAGAAUCCACCCUCCACAGCUGCUGGUGGAAACUGGUGCCAACUUCCCCCUGCUCUGUGUGACGAGCAAAGGGCCAGGGCUCCUCUUUUCCACUGACUCACGCCCCUGGCUGCAGACAGCUUCUGAGCCCUUCCAAAUUUAGUGAGAUUUGUGGUAGAGUUUUUAAAUCAUUCAUCAAAUUACUUCUGCAGAUAAUUAUGAGCUUGUUGCUCAUUUAUUAGCAGUAGGCUGUAAUUAUUCAGUAUCCAGAUGAUUUGCUGCGUGGAUCACAUGGUGUUGAGUGUCCCAGAUGAGUACAAGGCUCACAACUGGGAUUUUCAGAUCUUCCAUUUUAUUACUGAGCCUACCCAUUCCCAAGUGGCUGCUGCCUUGGAGGAGGAACCCUCCUUUGGACACAUUGUGCAAGAUUGGAGCAUUUCACUUUCAGCUUUUCAUUCAGCUCCUUGAUUCUAGACAUGAACCAACAGGCUGCAGGAGAUGGCACCCGCAGGCACACACACACGUGCACCUUCCCCAGCUGCCUGGGCACGGCUGGCAGUGCCCAGAACCAGCAACCACAAGUCUUUACUCCUCACUUCCAGCGCUUAAACAAACCAUUCUCGAGCAGAGAGUCCUCCUUCCCACUGUAGGGACCAGACACUAGAGGGCUACUAACAAUAGACCCUGAUUGCUGAUUAAUUGCUGUUGGAUCUGUCUGUCCUCAGCGCACUGCGAGCUGUUCUGCUGGCACCUAUGGUGUGACCUGAGCCAGCCAGGUCUGUCCCCACACCAACAUCCCACGCUGCAAAAGCCUCCAGGCUGACCUUCUGCAAGUUUUGCAGACAGGUUUUCAGUUGCUCUUUGAUCCAAACACUUUCAGGCCAGCACAACCCUCCAAGGGGAUGCAGAAGGAGCAUUGAGAUGAGCCCACUUACAAUUUGGGGAGCUGCUGGUGCUCACUGGGCAUCUCCCUGUCCUGGCCAUGCCUGAAGAGGGAAGUCCUGAGUAGGGACAUGGUUGAUGCCUCCAUGUGAGCCAGGGUGGCAAAGAUCCACCAGCUCAAACACUACGCACCACAACCACAGCCCCAGCUGCCCUUGGCCUGUGUUGGCUGUGCUGCAUGGAGCACUAAGGCAGACAGACUUCAGCUUGGCUGGGUCCAUCCCUAACCACAAAGGAUUAC